AUUUUCUGCCACCGAAUACAUUAGCAUGGGAUAAUGGAAUAGGACCCUGUCCUCCUAUUUUCAGUUGGUUUUGGCAGCGCGAGGACUAGGGUAAUGAUUAAUAGGGAUAGUUGGGGGCAUUAAUAUUUAAUUGUCAGAGGUGAAAUUCUUGGAUUUAUGAAAGAUUAACUUCUGCGAAAGCAUCUGCCAAGGAUGUUUUCAUUAAUCAAGAACGAAAGUUAGGGGAUCGAAGACGAUCAGAUACCGUCGUAGUCUUAACCAUAAACGAUGCCGACCAGCGAUUAGGAGACGUUGAAUACAAAACACCACCAUCGGUGCGGUCGUCCUUGGCGUCGGUCUUUCGGGGCCGGCGCGGGGACGGCUUAGCCCGGUGGCACCGGUGAAUGACUCCCCUAGCAGCUUGUGAGAA
rnacentral:rRNA from 1 species